CCUCAUAUUUUGGAUUCUGGCUGCAUUAUGAUGAAUGACACUUUGACAUCAGAUGUCAUUGGUCGACGAGUUGCCGUUAAUGGAGAACAUGCAACAGUGCGUUUUUCUGGUAUUGUCCCUCCUGUGGCAGGACUCUGGUUAGGAGUAGAAUGGGACAAUCCCGAGAGAGGAAAGCAUGAUGGAAGCCACGAGGGGACUGUGUAUUUUAAAUGCAGGCACCCAACAGGAGGAUCCUUUAUUCGUCCCAACAAAGUAAAUUUUGGAGUGGACUUUCUCACUGCAGUGAAGAAUCGCUAUGUGUUAGAAGAUGGACCAGAGGAGGAUGUAAAAGAGCAAAUCGUUAUAAUUGGAAAUAAACCCGUGGAAACUAUUGGGUUUGACUCUAUUAUAAAACAGCAAAGUCAGCUGAGCAAGUUGCAAGAAAUUUCUCUGAGGAACUGUGCAGUGAAUUGUGCUGGUGACAGAGGAACAAUUGCCAAAGCAUGUCCUAAUAUCAGAAAAGCAGAUUUGUCAAGAAACCUGUUGUCCUCGUGGGAUGAAGUCCUAGAUAUUGCUGAUCAGCUCAAACACCUGGAAGUUCUUAAUCUCAGUGAGAAUAAACUCCGCUUUCCCUCGGGUUCACCGUCUCGAACCGGAACAUUUCCUGCACUGAAGGUUUUAGUCCUUAACCGAACAGGAAUAACAUGGGCGGAGGUGCUCCGGUGUGCCUCUGGAUGGCCAGUCCUUAAGGAGCUGUACCUCAAGUCCAACGAUCUUUUCAUUUCAGAAAGGCCGGCUGAUGUUCUACAGACAGUCAAAUUAUUAGACCUUUCCUCUAAUCAAUUAAUUGAUGAAAAUCAGCUGCUUCUAAUAGCCUAUCUGCCCAGAUUAGAACAACUAAUCCUUUCUGACAUUGGAAUUUCUUCUAUACAUUUUCCGGAUGCUGGAACUGGGCACAAAACAUCCAUGUUUCCUUCCUUGCAGUACCUCGUAGUAAAUGACAAUCAGAUAUCACAAUGGCUAUUUAUCAACGAGCUGGAUAAGCUACAGAGUCUGCACGCUCUGUCCUGCAUCAGAAACCCCCUGACCGAAGGGAGCAAGGAAGCAAAGACCACGCGUCAGCUCAUCAUCGCCAAAAUCGGUCAGUUGAAGACCCUGAACAAAUGCGAGAUUCUGCCGGAGGAGAGGCGGGGGGCUGAGCUUGAUUACCGGAAGGCGUUCGGAAAUGAAUGGAAGAAGGCCGGGGGACAUCAGGAUCCAGACAAAAACCGACCCCAUGAGGAGUUUCUCGAAGCGCAUCCCAGAUACCAGCUGCUGUGCCUUAAAUAUGGUGCGCCUGAAGACGGGGAACUCCAAACACAACAACCGUUUCUGCUCAAAAACCGGCUACUGACACUGAAGAUAAAAUACCCUAAUCAAGUUGAUCAGAGAGUCCUAGAGAAACAACUGCCAGUCCCUCUUUCAAGUAUACUGUGAAUUACCGGAUAAAGCCUGAUUCUCGGUUAGAGAGCGGUAUGGGCAGCUUGAGUGUGGAGCGGCGAGGCGCUGAGGAAGAGAUGAAAUGUGUAUCACCCUAAGGGACUCUCGUAAAAUACUUUUCUUUGCUGGUCAGUGCAGUAAUUUCACAUUUUUAAAAUUUCUACUUUGUAGCACUUGUAAUGGCAAAUGUCACCACCACUUAAAUGUUUACCAGCGGGGAAGGAAAGGGCCGACUGAACUCCUGCAGCAUCAGGUAGCAUGAGCGAGAACACGGGAGUCUGGGGCCCCACUGGCCAGUAUGGCUGCUGCAGAUGGCAAUUUAAAUUGAAAUUCAUUAAACUGAAAUAAAAAAAUUCAGUCCUGAGUCGUCCUGAGUGCCGGCUGGCCGCACGGAUGGAUGACUGGACGAGAAAGGAGCACGUGUGGUCAGUACAUUAUGAAACCCACCCGUCCUGACAGAACCGGAGAAAAGCCUGGAAGUGUACACCCCCGUUAAACUUUCACACUCGUCCUAGGGAGGCACAACCAUCUCUACAUUUUCUGAAUGUUAAGACAAUCGUGUGUUAGACGUUUACAUUAGAAAUGGUAACGUUAUUUAGAGCAUUACGUGCAAAUUGCCACCUUUCCUGUAGUCACAGUGCGAGUGGGCAGAUUUCUCAUCAGGACUGUAGGACCAAACGUUUUGUUUCUGACGCGACUUAGGAAUGUGUCCUUUCCGUUGCUAGGUAGGAGUUAACCCAUCACUAACCACCCUCAGAACAGUGGAAGCCGGUGCACUGAAAUCUUUAUAAAAGGACAAGAUUAUCUACACACAUUCACACGUAAAAAAACAAGUUAUGUGAAUGAUGUCAAUUGUUUAUAUUCAACACAUAAACAAGGCCAGUUUUUAUUCUAAAAUAAAGAUAACAUUUAUUAGCACAAGUUGCAUAAAAACACAGACAGCUUUACAAAAAUCAUUUCUGAUAGAAAAAUAUUUGAAUACAUGUGGUAUUUGUAGGAACACCAUACUAUUGCUGUACCUCCAGCUAAAGCUUCAGAGAAACUCUGUUUCUCAUCAAAAUAUCCAGUAUUUACCACCACCCAUCUUUGGAAAGAAGUUCAUAGUGUUUUCUGAACAAACCAAAGCAUUUGCUUGUGAAGCAGGUCCCCUGCGUGCGCUCGCAGGGAGCCUGCGGACUGCCGGUCCCUCCGUCGCUCUACAGAGGGGGAAACCAAGGCAGAGUGAUGGAGAGGCGCCCUCUGGACGCCUGAGCCCCCACUCCAGUGUUCUCUCAGCCAUCCAUGAGCGAGUAAUCACAGAGGUUUAGAAAGUGAAUGAUUUUAACUCACAUUUACUCCUCUCUGCAGAGAAGAUGAUUUCUGGUUUAUUCAGAUGCAGGAGGAAAUAUUCACCACCACUGAAAUGGUAUGAAAAGCCACUGUCAAAGGGCACUUCGGUCAGACACUUGCUCGGUUCCCCACAGCUUCCCACAGGUCAGGUCAGCGGUGUGGAACCGGCUCUCGGGUCCACGCGGUGGGCGAGCCUCUCCCUACUGAUUGCCGCGGGGAACCGGGUACCGUGAAUCGUUGCGACUGGGGUCUUGGCAGGUGAGCUAGUUCUACACGUAACUGUCAUUCGAGAGAACUGAGGGUGUUUCUUUCCUUGACAGACUCCAUGACAAUUCAGAAGGUGAAGGGACUGCUGGCCCGUCUUCUCAAAGUUCCUGUGUCGGAACUUCUGCUGUCCUAUGAAAGCCCCAAAAUGCCUGGCAGAGAGAUUGAACUAGAAAAUGACCAGCAGUCAUUACAGUUUUAUUCUGUGGAAAGUGGAGAUUGUCUAUUGGUGCGAUGGUAACAGUGAACUAAGAAAGUUCGGGGACUGCACUGUUUAUCCUGACUCGGGGCGGGGGGGGGGGUACCGGAAAUAAAGGAUUUAUUGGAACAGUUCUGUUAGAAAAAGAGAGAGGUUUUACACCUUGCCCUAAGUAUAGAAAAGGUGGUAUUUUUCAUUGGGAAGAGACCAUUUCUAGGCUUGUAUAUAACAGUAGUAAUAAAGGCUUUGCACCUACUAA